UAGAGUUUGAUCCUGGCUCAGGACGACCUCUGGCGGCGUGCCUAACACAUGCAAGUCGAGCGGAGAUGAUGCGAGGAAUUUUUCGGAUGGAAUCGUAUUAUUUUAGCGGCGGACGGGUGAGUAACGCGUGAGCGACCAACCUUGCACGGGGGGAUAACGGACCGAAAGGUUCACUAAUACCGCAUGACACCACGGUGUUGCAUGACACAGGGGUCAAAGGAGGAAUCCGGUGCAAGACGGGCUCGCGUCCGAUUAGGUAGUUGGUGGGGUAAAGGCUCACCAAGCCAAUGAUCGGUAGCCGACCUGAGAGGGUGAUCGGCCACAUUGGAACUGCGACACGGUCCAAACUCCUACGGGAGGCAGCAGUGAGGAAUAUUGGUCAAUGGGCGAAAGCCUGAACCAGCUAUGUAGCGUGAAGGAUGACUGCCCUAUGGGUUGUAAACUUCUUUUGUUCGGGAAUAACAGACUUCACUUGUGGAGUUUUGCAUGUACCGUUCGAAUAAGGAUCGGCUAACUCCGUGCCAGCAGCCGCGGUAAUACGGAGGAUCCUAGCGUUAUUCGGAUUUAUUGGGUUUAAAGGGAGCGUAGGCGGGGGGUCAAGUCAGCUGUGAAAUACGUACGCUUAACGUUCGUCUUGCAGUUGAAACUGGUUUUCUUGAGUGCGUAUGAGGCAGGCGGAAUUCGUGGUGUAGCGGUGAAAUGCUUAGAUAUCACGAGGAACUCCUAUUGCGAAGGCAGCUUGCUGGUCCGCUACUGACGCUGAUGCUCGAAGGUGCGGGUAUCGAACAGGAUUAGAUACCCUGGUAGUCCGCACAGUAAACUAUGGACACUCGCUGUCGGCGAUAUACUGUCGGUGGCUAAGCGAAAGCAUUAAGUGUCCCACCUGGGGAGUACGUCGGCAACGAUGAAACUCAAAGGAAUUGACGGGGGCCCGCACAAGCGGAGGAACAUGUGGUUUAAUUCGAUGAUACGCGAGGAACCUUACCCGGGUUUGAAUUGCUGAAUUUGCAUUUGGAGACAUUUGCUUCCCUUUUGGGUUUCAGUGAAGGUGCUGCAUGGUUGUCGUCAGCUCGUGCCGUGAGGUGUCGGCUUAAGUGCCAUAACGAGCGCAACCCUUGCCGUUAGUUGCCAUCGGGUCAUGCCGGGCACUCUAUUGGGACUGCCAUCGUAAGAUGUGAGGAAGGUGGGGAUGACGUCAAAUCAGCACGGCCCUUAUGUCCGGGGCGACACACGUGUUACAAUGGGGGGUACAGCGGGUUGCUACCUGGUGACAGGGUGCUAAUCUUUAAAACCUCUCUCAGUUCGGAUCGGAGUCUGAAACUCGACUCCGUGAAGCUGGAUUCGCUAGUAAUCGCGCAUCAGCCACGGCGCGGUGAAUACGUUCCCGGGCCUUGCACACACCGCCCGUCAAG
rnacentral:rRNA from 1 species